rnacentral:rRNA from 1 species
UACAGAGGGUGCUAGCGUUGUUCGGAAUCAUUGGGCGUAAAGGGCGUGUAGGCGGUUUGUUAAGUCAUGUGUGGAAUCCCUCGGCUCAACCGGGGAACGACGCAUGAAACUGGCAAGCUAGAGUACCAAAGAGGGGGGUGGAAUUCCUGGUGUAGCGGUGAAAUGCGCAGAUAUCAGGAGGAACACCAAUGGCGAAGGCAGCUCGCUGGAACGGUACUGACGCUGAGGCGCGAAAGCGUGGGGAGCAAACAGG